ensembl:lncRNA
GUAAGGACAAAGCCAGUCAGCAUUAUUCGCCAUCAACAAGACUCUUCUGAUACACACAAGGAACACGUUUGUGUAUCUCUCCGGAGAUCAGCAUCAGCUAUCCCACACACAAAGGCAGACAGGGCUGCCUCCACAAAGAAGCAGAGCAGCUGCUGGAUGAAGACUUCUGCGAUGCUCUCCUGACAGAUCCGCAUCGAACCGCCUCUGAGCCUCAUUCUCAUACCACGCAAAAAGCAACAGCUCGUUGUGCCUUCAUUUUCUCUCCCACGAUCACAGCAAUGCAGCAUCCUUCUCUUCAUUACCUCCUGUGGCAGUUGUGUUGAGAGAAGGCACAAGGACAGUAAGCGUAAUACAUUAUCCAAAUGGCAAGUGGCUUUCACAGCCACAGAGAGCUGCUGCUGCUUCCUCAGAUGCCAUUACUUUCCAGCGUUUUUCCAGUGCUCUCCACUCCAAUUCACACUCAAAACCAGAGGUGUUGAGAGGGAGCACAGCACCGAGCGGUCUCUCCGGCCCUGCGGACACUCAUGCUGGGGGCUGAGCCUGCACAGGAAGGGUGAGCAGUGGCAGCACGUUGAGCAGGCAGUAAGUUUCCAUAAUCCUCAGCUACCUUUCUGAACCUGGAUGGUCCCUCUCCUGGGAAGCUGCAGGUCUUUCAGUCUCACACGCACACAUCUUUGUGGGCAGCCCUACAGAUUAGCCGUGCAGUAUUUUUCCAUUUCUGAUGAACGUGACAAAAUGCUGUCAUAACACACGGUACCUGGGAGCAGGCUGCAAGCCAAGGAAGUAAUUAUUUGUUCCAAACUGACCUUCUUAGGGCUGUACAGUACUUUUAUGCCUCUCAGAAUCCAUGAGUGACAAAACUAAGAUUACUUCUCCAGAAUCCUUCCAACUGAUCUCGUUGGUAUAAGGAGGACAGAAGGAAGAGAGAUCCUUCUGGGAUAAAGGGGAAAAAAAAAGAAGGAAGUCAGAUUACUCCCUUAAUUCAUCUGAACUCGUAAAGAACCAUUAGCAGGAAUUUAGUAUGAAUCUCACUGGUAACUUAACAGGGAAAAAAAGAGGGGGGGGG